CUUCUGUCCCAGCAACUUUAAGCUCUAUGGGUCUUAGAGGGAUGACGCUUCUGCCAGGGGCACAGCAAAGAGACCCACUAAACUUAAAGCAAUUACUGCUGCCAUUGCUUGCCUUGGGAUAUAUAUGCCAGCAGGCCAAUAGUCAAAGAAAAAAAGUCACAUAAAGGCCAGGCUAUUGACCCUAAUCAUUUUGGGGAAAUAGGGUUGCUGCUACAUAAUGAGGGACAGGACAAGAAUAUGUUUGACAGUCAGGUGAACCACUGGGACAUCAACAGGUACUCUCCUAGUUUUAACUAUGAGGGAAGGAAAUAACUUUGGGACAUAUAAACUAGGGUGUCAGACUCUUUAGGAAUAGGUGAGACAACCAGGUAAGAUACCUGCACCAUCAGAUGCACUGUCAGAGGAAGUGGCAAAUCUAAUGUGGAUGAGGGAUGAGGGAGAUGAUGAGUAUCAGUCAUGGACUUGAAGUCAACUGUGGCAGUGGGGCAUGUAGUUUCCACUAAUGUGUUCUUGUGAUUAAUCAGAAUUCCAGAGGAACUAUGCUGAAUAGAUUGAAUUUAAUGUGAGGAGCAAGUGGUUCUGAAUAGUGCAAAGUAUAGACUAUACAAAAUAUUGUUGAUGUCCAACUCAGAUCUCCUUUUCAGGCUGAAACACUUAUCCCCCAGCUCUCAUGAGUGUUGGGUCCUAAAAGCUUACAGAUACUCUCUUCUCCAGAAAAAUGCCCUCAGAAUAUGGGAACCAUCCUGAUUGGAAUAUACAGUGUUGAUAGUGGCUUACAGCCAAGGACUGACUCUCUGGGUGUGCAAAGGUUGUCCUCUUACAUCAAGAAAAAUAUUUGCAAUCUGUGAUUGGCUGAUUCCAUGGAUGUGGAAGCUGCAGAUACUGAGGGCUGACUGUAAAUCCCUGCGUCUAUACUUCGUCACAUGGCAACUGAGCUGAACUCACCCCUGAGCUGCGCUAGUGAUUUACGACACACAAUUUAGCAGUUCACAUUUGUCAGGCCUUUUGGUACACAGUAGCCUUUGGUGACUGGAAGUAGAUGGAGGCCCAAAUCUUCUCUCCAUUUCUUUGGCACUAAGAGCUAUGUUACAAUGAAAACAAGACCUAGGAACAAGGCACACAAAUGAUCACCUUGCUUGAGAGACUUAAUCCAAGAUGGACACAUACGAUCCUGGUGGCCCACCUUCCUGUCAGUUCUGGUGACAGAGUCCUUUGUGAAGUGGGAGGGCAAAGCACCAAAUGGAGCCCCACGUCUUGUUUAUUACAGGGAAGAAGGAUUCCCUAUGGGUAACUUAAUACUGUUUUAAAAUUGUUGUUACACAUACACAUAAGAUACUUAUAAGCAGGUACAUCACUUUGUAUAAUGCAGUGUUUGUAAGUAACUUCUUAGGCAACAUAAUAUCACAUGCUGUUAAUUCUCAUGUAAUCCCAUUGUGUCACACUAACAAUCCCGGUAAUAGGGUCACAUCAAUACUAACACAAGAAUGCUAAUAACUCCAAACCACUACCUCCUAAAUAAAGACACAUGCCAUUAUCAAUUGUCAUCUCACCAUCUCCCCUUCUGCAUGACUAGCCUAUUCUAGCAUCAUCUCUUCCCUGGGCCACUGCAAGUUUCCUCAACUGAAUUUAUUUAUUUAUUUUUGUUGUUCAUAGUCACAUUGAGAUGUUAAUAAAUCUGAUCAUUUCAUUUCCAUUUUUGAAA
rnacentral:lncRNA from 1 species